CGGAAAAAAUACUCAACUAACAGUGAAAUGGGAUCAAAAUGGUUUCAGAAUUUCCUUUAGCUUUUCUUUCUUGAUUGUAGUAUUCUUUCCAUCUUUUGGGGCAAAAGCCCAAAAAUCCUUGAUGCUUUGUCCCUUUUUUGCAUGUACCUUUUGUUACAAAGGCUUUGUCGUCAUAGAUCAAUCCACACAUAUUCACUUUCUUUUUACACUAAACUGAUUGAUCAGUGUUUAAGAUGGAAAAGACCCAAUUUUGCAAAAUCCAUUCAUGCCCAGCUGAUAAAGCUUGGUUUUAAUGGCACUUUUCUGGGAAAUCGUUGCGUUGAUAUGUAUAGCAAAGUUGGCCUUUUUAAUUAUGCUUUGAAAGUGUUCGGUGAUAUAGCUGAUAGGAAUGUCUAUUCUUGGAAUAUAUGCUUGAAAACGUAUGCACAACAUGGUGAUUUUGAGAAGGCGCGUUUAAUAUUUGAUAAAAUGCCUGAAAGGGAUGUUGUGAGCUGGAAUUCGAUGAUUUCAGGGUAUGUGUCAUGUGGGUUCUCAGAGCAAGCGUUGGAGUUGUUUCUUGAUAUGCAGAAAAAUGGUGUUAGGCCGAGUGGGUUUACGUUUUCGAUUUUGAUCUCGUCUGUUGAAUGUGUCUUUGCUGGUAAGCAAAUACAUUGCAGUAUGUUGAGAAAUGGUGUCGAUUUUUCCAAUGUGGUGGUUGGCAAUUCUUUGAUUGAUAUGUAUGGGAAGGUUGGCGUUGUGGAAUAUGCUCUUAGUGUGUUUUGGAGUAUGAAGGAGGUGGAUGUCAUAUCCUGGAACUCAUUGAUCUCGGCUUGCUGUAAAUCAGGUUAUGAAGAAUUAGCAAUUGACGUGUUCUGUUGGAUGAGAUAUCAAGGAUAUGCACCAGAUGAGUUUACCGUGUCGAGAGUGAUUUCAGCCUGUUCUGGCUCGCGGAAUUUGGAAAAGGGUAAACCAAUUUUAUGUCUUUGUAUAAAGAUGGGGUUUUUCUCGAAUACUAUUCUUUCAAGUGCUGCUAUUGACUAUUUAUCUAAAUGCAACAGAAUGGAGGACUCGGUGCAUAUAUUUGAAGAAUCUAGUAUUUGGGAUUCAGCUCUUUGCAAUUCCAUGAUUUCAGCCUAUUCACAGCAUGGUGUAGAAGAGAAAGCAUUUGGGAUUUUUGUCGUUUCAAUAAGGGAGAAUAUUAGGCCAACUGAGUUCACUCUUAGCUCUGUUCUCAAUUGUGCUUCAGCCUUCUUAGCAUUGGAGCAGGGAAGUCAAGUCCAUUCUUUAGUGAUCAAAUCAGGGUUUGAAUCAGAUUCCAUUGUUUCCAGUUCACUUGUAGCCAUGUACUUUAGAUUUGGAUUAGUUGAUGCUGCCUUGGGGAUCUUUGCUACCAUGGUUGUGAAAGAUCUAAUAGCUUGGAAUACUGUAAUAAUGGGAUUGGCUCAUAAUGGAAAAUUUCUUGAAUCUAUUGGCCUUUUCAAGCAACUAAAAUCUAGGGGACUAGAGCCGGACAAGAUUACAUUUUCUGGUGUUCUAUUGGCAUGCAGAUUCGGUGGAUUGCUUGAAGAAGGAAUGGCUAUAUUUUCUUUAAUGGAAAAGGAUUAUGGAAUUGCACCCAGGGAUGAACAUUAUGCUUGUGUUGUGGACUUGAUGAGUCGAGCAGGUAAACUUAAAGAAGCAAUAGCUAUAAUGGAAGUUAUGCCCCAUCCACCCAAUGCUCUGAUGUGGGAAUCAAUACUUUGUGCUUGUAGAAUUUAUGGAGAUUUGAAACUUGUUGAAAAAGUUGCAGAGAGAAUGAUUGAUUUGAAAAUAGAGUCAUUAUUGUCUUGUUCAGUGUUGGCUCAAGUGUACGAGCACAAUGGUAGAUGGGAAAGCCUAGUUAGAGUAAGGAGGUUUAUGAAGCAGAAAUAUGAAGUGUUUGAUUCUAGUUGGGUUGGAUUUGGAGGCAACGUAUAUGCUUUUGAAACAAACGAAACAUUUCACCAAGGUGGUGAGGAUAUCUAUUCAUUGUUGAGAUUAUUGACCCUGGAGACGCAAGAUCAAGUUUACCUAUGAUAGCGCUUUUUGGGGUGUAAAUUGGAAGAGCAGGUUGUAAGUAGAACAGAAGCAUGGAGCAACGUGCGUUUUUGCACCCUUGGAAAAAUCACUGAGUACCCUUUGAUUUCCCCUUUGACAUCAAAAUUUGUCGAGGAAGCUUUCAACAGAGGUAUCCUUUUACCGAGAAUCUAUUAAGCAUACACAUAUUUUGAAGUGGAGGAGUUGCUAUUGCAUUUGCUUAUACUUUCAACGAACCUGGAUGCAUCUGCCUUUUAACUUGUGCUUUGAAUGAGAACAGUCUCAUAUCUUAUUCUUAGAUAUGGAACAAGACCAAAGAAUGGUCAAAACAAGCAACUGAAUUUUUCCCUAUUAGCAUGAAGACUGUCUCAUAUUCCUUAAUUGUUCUUGAGUUGAAGAGACACCUCAACAUAUAUUCAUUUUGGGGCAUUUCUGCUGCUAUAUCUUGGAUGACAGUAAGUUCAAUUGUUCUGAUAUUCUCAACAAGGAUUCCUGUUUUGAUGAUUGAGAGGAUCUAAGCCAGGAAACUUUCCUACUCAUGUUCAUCCUGCAAGGUCAGUGUUUCCACUGGCGAUAUGGAAGCUCCUUGAUAUUUAAAAUGCAAUCAAAAUUUUGCUCUAUAAUUAUCAGAAAUACUGAUAGUUCUCCUCCAACUUCCACGGAGAUCAGUGUUUUUGUUCUAACAAAUAAUAAGUUGAAAGUUGGAAUCAGAAGAAAAGAAAUUAGCUGUUAAA